CUACGGGAUGCUGCAGUAGGGAAUAUUGGACAAUGGGCGAAAGCCUGAUCCAGCAACACCGCGUGCACGAUGACGGCCUUCGGGUUGUAAAGUGCUUUUAGAGGAGAUGAGAAAGGACAGUAUCCUCUGAAUAAGCCUCGGCGAACUACGUGCCAGCAGCCGCGGUAAAACGUAGGAGGCAAGCGUUAUCCGGAUUUAUUGGGCGUAAAGCACGUGCAGGCGGUCUAGCAAGUUGGAUGUGAAAGCUCCCGGCUCAACUGGGAGAGGUCGUUCAAUACUGUUAGACUAGAGAAUAGGAGAGGGAGGUGGAAUUCCGGGUGUAGUGGUGAAAUGCGUAGAUAUCCGGAGGAACACCAGUGGCGAAAGCGGCCUCCUGGACUAUUUCUGACGCUAAGACGCGAAAGCUAGGGUAGCAAACGGGGUUAGAUACCCCGGUAGUC
rnacentral:rRNA from 1 species